rnacentral:lncRNA from 1 species
CAUGGCAGCCCACACUGCAGCCACCCUCUUGGUCCUGCUGCUCUGCUGCUGGCGGGGAGCGGACCUCCAGCCACUGAACAUGACCACAGGUCAAACCACUGACCUGAGAACCGGUUCGAAAGACCACGAGGACAUACCUGGAGUAUUUGAUGAAAUCCUAGUCCAAGAGAUUCUGGAACCCAAUAAAUCGACGUCUAAAAUGCCAACGGCAGGAACAACGCUAUCAACAAGAAUAUUCAAGGAAAAAAAAGCCAGCCUCGAGGAGGAGGACGCCCCGUCGGCUGCUUCCGAGGGUCACCGUGUGCUCUCGGCGGUUCUCCCCGUCUCUCUCGGCCCUGAGGACAAGAUGGUCAACAACGAACCCAGUACUGACGACACCUACCAAGUCGGCGAGCCCGAGGGCUCCCCGGAGCCGCAGUACCCCCCCGGCGUGGGAGACGUACUUCAGAAUAACGGAAAGAAGAAAUCGAAAAAUGAUCAGCACGAGAAACAAUCAGUUCUGGACAGGAUCCUGCAAAAUACUGAAAAAUCUCCAGGAAACUCCGUCCAGUAAAUGGAGGAGAGCGAGGCCCAGAGGAGGCGUGGAGAGCAGCCCGUGAGGCCGCUGGCUCCGAGGAGCCGCCACACAGGACGCACGG